AGUGGGAUAGCUGGGUCAAAUGGUGGUUCCAUUCCACAUUUUCUAAGGAAUUUCGAUACUACUUUCCAAAGUGGUUGCACCAACUUUCAGUCCUAUCAGCACU
rnacentral:pre_miRNA from 1 species